GCACAGGCUAAUCUGAAUUCCCCAGAUAAGCCUCCACAGCUCAAACGACAGAGCGGGGAAUCAAACCCGGUUCCUCCAGAUUAGAAUACCCCUGCUCUUAACCAUUACGCCAAUGCUGGUGCUAGCAAUAGCACCAGUCCUGACAAUGAUCUUUAUGGAACCCCACUGCUUAUCAUCCUCCAUUGCGAGAACUGUCUGCCUGCUCUCUGCUUCCUAUCCAGGUGCUAAACCACAAGAGGCCCCAUCCUCCUAUCCCAUGACUAUUGUUUCUUGAGGAGCCUUUGGUGAGGGAAUCAAGUACAUAGUGGCUACCGGAUCACCACCAUGUGAUUUAAAACCUUCUCCAAGAACUUGAUCAGCUUGUUGAGGUGAAACUUCCCCUUACAGAAGCGGUUCUCAUUAUUCCUCAGUAAGACUUGUUCUUCAGUGUGACUAUUAGUUCCAUCUGCCUCUUCAUAUGUAAAGUGAGUGUGUGUUUAUUUUUAGUAGAAAAAUAGUGUAUAGGGUAAGGGAAGCUGCCCUCUCCUUAUUUUACCUCCUGCUGUUAGCUGGAGCACUUUCUUUCCAACCCAGCAGAUUUUCUACAUUGGAACCAAGCAGGGAAAGAGCAUACUUCAAGCGUGAACUUGGAUCCAGUGGACUGGGGCUACAGUGUGCCGGAGAUGGAGUUUAAUCCUUCCCACCUCCAUGUGGGUUUGCCCCGUAUGGUUGCUAUUUCCAUUUGUAAUGAGCUGGGAUCUUCCUGUGACUCCUCGGGUCCAACCUUGAGUUUGCAAGAGGAACUGAUGCUUACUGCAGAGCCUUUUAGACAAGCAGGACGAAAUUCCUGUUUUGGUGGAAAUCUGCACAAGAAAAUAGCAAAGAACAAGCACACCAGACACAGUUUGGCCAGUCAUUGGAUAUGCAAUACAAUGUAGUUUAAAAAUCACUGCAUUGACAAAUAGUUCUUAUUACUGAGUCAUUGGGUUGGGGACUGUGAUAUUCCCUGGCUGAAGCCUUUGGAGCCCUACACAAAAGACUGACAUGCCGAGCAAUCUUGGGGCUAGAAAUAUUAAGAUCAGCAGUUAUCGGAGUGUGAUUGCGACUCCAUCUCUUACAAGUUGCUCCAAGCAGGCAGUCUAAGCCCACCUCUUCUUGUGACCCGUUCCUACUGAAAUGUCAGUGUGAAACAUUCUGCCCUAAGACUUUGUUUUCUUUUCCAAUGGACAGCUUGACAUUGUGUAUGACAAAGCCAGCUUUUGCUGUGAAAUACGGCUGAAUUGAUUCUGGUGUUCAUGUUGCCCGGCAUUAUCCACCCCUCGAGAUUCAAGCUGGAAAUUACAGGGUUAUUCUUACUGUAAAGGCUUUCAUCUCGAUCGCCACUUUGAAAUUGCAUCCUUGACUUGAAAAUGAUAGUGUGAAAUGUUGGAAAUGUAAAAAAGAAGAUGGCUCAUUUUACCAUUUGUGGGGGACUUGUAGACAUUUUUAAAAAAAAUUGGAAAGAAAUUCAUGUAGAAAUUCAGAAAAAAAUCAAAAUCAAAUUUGCAGUGGAUGUUUGCCCGCCAUAAGGCUAGCCGUCAUAGGCAGUAUAACUUGUGAAUUUACUAAGUCUACAAUAUAUACACUUGUGGGAUUCUGUCUCAGUAGUGCCCCAGUGCACCUUCAAGUAGGCACUUGCUCAUGUGUAGGUAUUCAAUUUCAGAUUUUUGUAUGAACACUCUUAAAUGUGAUUUAUUGACCAACACUGAAAGUAAGCAGAAUGGAAGCCCUUCCAUACAAUUUGGAACUGUAAUAUUAGUGUGAAUAGUAAUACACAUAUUUACAACACACUCAUGAGCCUCCGAAGAUUUGUCGAAGCCAGAACAUAUCCAGAAGCUGGCCACUCGCAUUUAGUUUUCAAUAUAAAGUCAAUAGCUAUCCCUGUGAAGAUUGUGGAAGCAAUUGAAGAAGUGUUGACUAGUACUUAUGAAUACUAUAUAAGAGAGAGAUACUUGAAGGUGCAUUGGGGCACUGCUGAGACACAGCCCCACAAGUGUAUAUAUUGUUGACUUAGUAAAUUCACAAGUUAUACAGUUCUAUGACUGCUGGCUCAAUUGUGUAAACAAUUGCUUGCUUGAAGACUAUGUUACUAGGCACAUUGCCAAAAAUAUUCCAAAAAUCUCAGAUGAAAUGUUUCAGGAUUUGAUAACAACAGCCGGAGUGAUACUUGCAACAAAAUGGAAGGUAGAUUAAUGUUGAAGCUGAAUUAGGAAAAUAAACUAGUAGAAUAUCCAUAAUGGCAAACUUAACAAACUUUGUGAAUAAGCAACCAAAAUAUUUCAAGAUAAAUGGACAGCAUAUUAUUUAUUUUAUUUCACACACACACACAAAAGAAUAAUGGCAAAAUGUGAAGGGUAUUGCUGAAAUGAUAUCAGUAACCUUCAUGAUAUAUGUUAUAUUGAAAAGGGGUUAAAGGGAAAUAGAUAAAUGAUUCAUCACACUAUGUAACAUGGUAAUUAUAUGGCAAUACAAAUGUUAUUUUGUGAGAAAAAUUCUAGAAAUGUAUAAUAGUAACCAUUCAUCAGAGCUUUUUAAAACCUAUUUUGGAUUACUAGAAUUUAAUCAACAAUGGUCAUUAUUGAUAAUUGUUUUUUAUUUUUAAAUAAUGCUAUGCGUAUAAUUUUGUUUCCCUUCUUUGUCUACAGAAGUAAUUGUAACAAUGAUGUCAUUCCAUCUUUUUCUGUCUGUUAAUUUAAUUCUUAUCUAUAAUUUAUUAUUAUAGUGUGAACCAGGCAGAGAUCCAAUUGGCUUUUGCUGAUUUAUUUCCUCUUAAUUUUGCAAAAAAACCCAAACCCUACUUGCAUACAAUCCUCUUUGACUCAUCUUUAGAUACCAAAAUAUGGCUAGAUUGAUGUCUGGAUGCUGGUACCAUUGACAUUUUUUUGCUGAAUACAUUGGGAUCCUUUUGAGUCUUGCUGA